GUACACACCGCCCGUCACACCAUGGGAGUGGGGGCACCAGAAGCGGGUAGCUUAACCUUCGGGAGAGCGUUUGCCACGGUGUGGUCAAUGACUGGGGUGAAGUCGUAACAAGGUAGCCGUAGGUGAACCUGCAGAAGGAUCA
rnacentral:rRNA from 1 species